rnacentral:lncRNA from 1 species
UCGGAGAGUCAAGCCACAGAGUCAUUGAAGCUAAGAAGAAUUUGAAGCAUUCAAGGAGAUUUGGAGAUCAAGAAUACAAUUCUUGUGUGUUUCUAUAUUUUCUUGGUUUUGUUUUUAAUGUUUAGAUUUUAUUCAAUGAUGAUGUAUGUCUUGAUGGAGAACUAAGUUUUUAAUCUAAGAUUAUGAUUGAACUCAAUAUAUAGUCUGAAUUUUUUAUCUCUCUUUUACUUAUGUUUGACGGAUUUAAGUUGUUUAGUUUAUUCUGUUCUUAAUGCUUUUAGUUGAGUGGCCACCAAUUAGAUUGAAUUGGAAACUUAGGUUAAACCUUGACGAAGGAGAUUUAGGUAGACCUUGAAUAGAAUAGUGUAUGAUCGAAUGCACUUAGUUGAUUAGGUGGUUUGAUUUGCAAAUAAGGUAGACAUACACUUAUAAGCCAUAUGUAGCAAAAAUUAGAGCACAAACUUAAUGAAUCUUUCUUCAAUUUAAUUUGCAUAGACAUAUAGUAAAUUAAUUGGGAAAGGUAUUUUUAUAAGAAACUCAAUAGAGACUUGUAAAUAAUUUAGGACUCUAGGUUAACAACUUAAUCCAUUAAACUAAGUUAAGAGAGAGAGAUAAUAAUCAGAUAAAGUAUUGAGGGAUAUCAUAAUCUUAGGUCUGGUAGUCAUUCACAUUUAAUAAAGUAAAUUUGCUAAUAGAUUUUAGAUUAAGUUUUUGUUUCGUUAUUAGUUUAUUAAUUUAAAUUUUUUUUAAUUUUAAUUGUUUAGUUAAAAUUAAGGUGUUAAUUUUAGUAGUUAACUGUAAGGAUUAAUUAAAUUCUCUGUGGGUACACUUGCGUGAGUAGAAAAUUGAACAACAUUACUCCUCAAGAUGACCCCCUUUAGCCUUAAAAAAUGAUUGUAUUUAUAUCCCUUUUGAUGACCAUUUGAUGUAAAAUCGAAUGGCAAAAAAUGUGCAGACUUAUGUGUCAAUGCUUAGGCACCAAAAGGCUGGUGCUCAGGCCCCCAAGGUUCUAUUUUGUGACUUGUUUGAACAUGCUGGACAGUGCAUUUGAUGCCUAGACGCCCGAGCUUCUGUCAACACUGAUUGUAGUCUACUACAAUCAAUCAACUUCCUUUUCAUUUUUGACCAUGAUCUCUUCCUAACUGAGUGAAGUGUAAAACAUCAAAAUUGUAGUUCUUCUUCUAAAUUUUCUACAGGUCCAAGAAUCAUGUCAAUUGGAGUUCUGUAUCUCGAUGUUCAAAGGCCUUUCUUAAGUUACUUGCACCAUUCUUUGCCAUUUGAGUUCCAAGUCUUUACGUCAUGGACCACCGUUCAGAGCAUUAAAAGAAGCCCUAGGGUGUUUCAGAGUGCCAGCAUAUGGGGGAGUAUUGUUGGGAGAGAACCCCAACUUGGUAGCAUGAGCAGAUGCAAGCUGCACAGUAGGAGCGCACAUCACUAGCACCUAGGCGAGCGAACCCGUACAACACCUAAGCAAACUGCCUGUGGGUGGCCUAGACGAGUCAGCUUGCACAGCGCCCAGGUAGACUAUUGUGGGCUGCCCAAAUGAGUCAAACUGCCUAAAACUUGGAUUGACCCACCACUGUAGCCCUUAUAAUGACCUAAACUGCCUGUAUUCAAAUUGUCCUACCCAAAACUGUUUUGUAUAGCCAUUUUGAAUCUUGGGGGGGAAUUUUGGCUAUAAUAGCCCUUGUAAAUCACUUGUAUAGCAAAUGGCUUAAUGAAUACAAUUUUUU